UUAGUUUGACUAAUAAUAAAAAGCAAAGCCGUACCUAUCGUCGUCUCCUCAUCCGUCAGGCAAGAGCACUCGGCUGCGAAGGGGAGCUUAAAAGUGAGAGCUUCUGACGGUGAGUCCCGAUAAAAUCAGAACUUCUUUUUUGGAAGGGUACAUCUUUGCCUCUUUGGAAUGGCCGAGGCAGUUGUAGCAUUUGGAUUGCAGAAGCUAUGGGAGCUACUAAUUCGAGAAUCGAAUAGGUUAAAAGGAGUCCAUGAACAAGCUACGGAACUACAAAGCGAUUUAAGACGGCUUAAAUCGUUUGUGAAGGAUGCAGAAACUAAGAAGAGUAAGAGCGAGAGAGUGAGAAAUUGUGUGGAUGAGAUUGUGUAUGAUGCUGAGGACGUAAUCGAGAGUUUUCUUAUCAAAGAAGAGAAGCGUGUAAUAGAAAGAAGAGAGUUUAAGAAACAUUUAAAGAGUGUUUCUUGUGUUACAUUUGCUAACCAGGAGUUUGGUUCACAAAUCAGAAGCAUCAUCACUAGGAUCUCCAAGGUAAUAGAUAACAUGGAGAGAUUUGGAGUGAGAGAAAUCAUCGACAAAGAAGAAGAAGAAGAAGAACUAGUUGGUCAUCUCGUGGAGAUACGACAAUCUUUUCCUAGCGUUUCUGAAAGCAGCCUUGUUGGUGUGGAGCCUAGUGUUGAAGGGCUAGUGAGUCAUAUUGUAGGGGAGGGUGGUGUUCAAGUGGUUUUGAUAUGCGGGAUGGGCGGUGUUGGGAAAACCACACUCGCUAGAAAAGUUUUUCAUCAUUAGAUGGUGCGGCGUCAUUGCAGUGGAUUUGCUUGGGUGUUUGUUUCACAGGAGUGUAGACAGAAGCAUGUGUGGCGGGUGAUGUUACAGAGUCUUAGGCCGAAAAAUGAGGAACAGAGGAUUUUGGAGAUGACAGUGUCUAGACUCCAAGAUGAGCUCUUUAAACUACUUGAAACUGAGAAAUGUUUGAUUGUCCUUGAUGAUAUAUGGAGCAGUGCAGCUUGGGAGCUUAUAAAGCCAGCAUUUCCACAUACAUCAGGUAGCAAGGUAUUACUCACUUCUAGAAAUGAGGGUGUUGGUUUGCAUCCAGAUCUAAAAGCCGUCAUCUUUAGGCCUAGAUGCCUAACUUAUGAAGAAAGCUGGGAAGUUUUUCAGAAGAUAGCUUUGUUUGAGGGAAACGAUAUAGAGUUUCAGGUUGAUGAUUUAUAGGAAGAGAUUCAACAAAUGCUCAAACAUUUUGGAGGGUUACCAUUAGCUGUGAAAACUCUUGGAGGGUUUCUAGCUACAAAAUGUACUGCGUCCGGGUGGCAAAAGGUACAGAACAAUAUUGGAUCUCAUAUUGUAGAAGGCGACAUUGGUAGUUUGGUAUUCAAUGUGUUAUGAAGAUUUACCUUGUCAUUUGAAGCACUGCUUUCUUUACCUUGCCCAUUUCCCGGAAUAUUAUGAGAUACAAACAGAGACAUUGUUCAGUUACUGGGUCGCAGAAGGAAUAGUGAUGGUUCAUAAUGAAGAGGCUACUAUUGUAGAUAUAGCUGAGUAUUAUUUGGAGGAGUUGGUUAAAAGGAGUAUGGUAUUAGUAGGGAAGAGGAACACUAUGACAUCAAGAAUUGAAUCUUGUCGUCUGCAUGACAUUGUAAGAGAAGUCUGUUUGUUUGAAGCCAAAGAAGAGAAUUUCAUAGAUCCUUAUCGCCUCUGUUUCACUAUCAUCUGGUGACUUACCCGAGGAUCCAAUGUCAGUUCUCGAGAAGUUACAUAGCUUGAAAAUUGUUAGUCUAGAACUGAAAUUAGAAUCUGUAAACCAGCCGGUAUCUGUGGCUUCAACAACUCCUUUGUAUUCCAAUCAAUAAAAAGCCUUUUCGACUAAAGGAAAGAAAAAAAGUUUAACUCAA